UUUCCCGACAGUUCACGUCCCCUUCAAAGCGUCUGCCGUCCUCAAGAUGGAAGCAGAAUUAUUGCUGGCUGACAGUGGGAGAUGGGAACGAGGCUAGCAUCAGGUGUAGCAAACAGAGAAACGUUACCAAACUUUGGAAAGCAUUGUCUAAUUGAAUGAGCAGGGACGAACAGCUUGGAGUCAGAAGUACGUGCGCUAUUCUCGAACCUGAAUGCACCCCAAGUUUUGGAUGACAAAUCAACAGAGCAGAGAGUCGACUCGACACGGCUGGUAGUUUCUUCAAUUUAUUUAGAGUAAGUAAUGCACCACUUUUGACCGUGAGUAACGGUAACGGCGUUGUAACGGCAGAAAAAGUAAUUAGUCAGAUUACCCCGUUACUGAAAAAAUAACGCCGUUACGUAACGGCGUUAUUUAUAACGGCGUUACUCCCAACACUGCUGAUGAAGUGACAGUAGAGGUGAAUUAUUAGCUUCCUCUGUGACUAGCGGUACGCCAGAAUGUUCACCUAUCGCUCUAGCGACAGCAGCGGCUUGCCUGCUUAAGAGAGCGGCCUGCAGUUUGUCUUUGGCGCUUUAUUGCGCGCAUUUCACUCGCUAUCCGAGCACGUCGAGGCUUCUUGUGAGGGAAAAUAGUUGGAACAGCAUUUGAUUUUAGUCUCCGCUUAUAUCCAGCCGCUCCGGUGAGCUCUUUCAUAACUUGUCGUCGACUAAAAGCCUCGAACGCAGUAGGAGAAAAAUGGCGAGAACAAAGCCUAGGGUCUUUGGGAAGUUUUGUCUGCAGGCAUUUUCCCAAACCUUUUCAAUUCAAUUCAAUUCAAUUCAAUUUUAUUUGUAUAGCCCUCAAUCACAACAGAAGUCUCAAAGGGCUUAACAGAGGCAAUAUGAAAUUAGAAAUGAAGCAACAAAGAUGAAUAGAUGCAACAAAGAUCAAUAGAUGCAAUUCAAGUCCUGGGUAUCCCCUAUCCUUAAGACCCUCCAUGCCGGCAAGGAAAAACUCCAAAAACUCCAAAGUCAAUUGGGAGAAAAAUGAGAAACCUUGGGGAGUACCACAGUCAGGAGAGAUCCACUCCCAGGACGGAUAGACAGGAACCCCAGAACGGCUAAUGGGAAUUAGCAAGCGAAAUUAUAGUCCGUAAAAAUACAGUGGAGUAAAGGAGCAAGAAGAAGUCCCUCUAGUCAGAUGAGACGGGGGUAGCAGCGAGGACGUCUAUCCAGCCAGGGGUCCGGACAGUCAGGAGGCUGCAGCUGAAAAAUAGCCCCUCCCCAGAGGGGAGGGGGGAAAGGGGACACCGGGUGACUAGUGAUGAAGAGACUAGACAACUAGAUAUUAACACUGUCAAUAGGAAAUCUGUGGAGACUCAACUCCCCUUGUUUCCUUUUGACUGGACAUCGCAUCCAAAAGCAGCACAUCAUAGCGUUUUACUUAGCGAGUUUAGGCAGCAAUACACAAUUGUUGUACACAAUUGGAAACGUCCCAAUUACGGCAUCACUCCGAGCCCGCAAAACAUGGCGCCAACUAUCGGUCAAAAUAUGUACUAAAUGUGACAUAUUUAUGUCACACUGCUGUUGCCAUAGUGUGCACUUCCUGUGGGUGUGGUAUUACAGUAUGAAAAGGAAUCUCUGUGAUGUGUCGGUGACACAUAUGCUGAGAAGCACACUGAAUAAAGAAGUGUUGUUCCAUUCUAGUCUCGGCCUUACAUGUACUUAGAUUAAGGAAGUACAUAACAAAAGUGGCGACGAGGACGUCUGGACUUGCGUCAGCUCGGACGUGCUGUUUUUUGAGUUUGUUGCGGGUCGCGGUGCUCCAGGGGACAGACGGCGCCAACCUCAGCUUCCACGUCGUGACUUCGUGAGGAGGAGGACGAGCGGAGAUUUCAAAAGGAGCGUGAAGGUGCUGUAUAACCAGGCGCUAUGCCGGGAGUUAUCAGCUCUGUUGCUCCUUCUGAUGAGCUUGUGGAACAGUGGAGCUCGUACACGGAGCGGUUUGGCUAUUCCGUGGAAGCUAACGCAAUAGCGGAAGAGAAAGUGGUGCCCAUGUUUUUGAGCGUUAUUGGGCCAAAGACUUUCAAUUUACUGAGAAACUUCAGCCGAUAAACCUGGCAGUAAAUUGUACAGGGAAAUCGUGGAAACCCUUAAUGGACAUUUUUCACCCAAGCCCCUUGUGAUUGCAGAGAGAUUCCGAUUUCACAGGAGAAAUCAGGAAGAGGGGGAAUCUGUCACUAUGUUUGUAGCAGCGCUGCGGAAGCUGGCUGAACAUUGUGAGUUUGGUGAUGUUUUAGAAGACACAUUAAGAGACAGAUUGGUAUGUGGACUGAGAAAUGAAGCAGCACAAAAGAAGUUACUCUCAGAAAGUGGACUGACAUUAAAGAAAGCCUUUGAUCUAAGUGUGGCAAUGGAAAUGGCUUCAAAGGAGGCUCAACAACUGAACAUGACGAGCAGAGUACACCAAGUAGCAAGUACCCAAAGCGAUGUUGCUGGUCCCUGUUUUAGGUGCGGUAAAACAGGGCACCUUUCCUCCACAUGCUGGUGCAAAGAAAUGAACUGUCGUAAUUGUUGGGAAGAAGGGUCAUGUUGAGCGUGCAUGUCGGAAAAAAAAAAGCACGGACAAAGAUAAGGAAAUGAAUGACAAGAAGGAAACAAAGAAAUAUGUCAAAGCAGUAGAGAGUGCCUUUACUUCCGAAGACGAAAGUGAUGUGCACACCGUGCAUGUAAUGAGCGUGGACGGGAAGUCAGGGUGUUACUGGGUCACACCAAAGUUAGAGGGUCACCCAGUCAAAAUGUAAAUAGACACUGGAUCACAGGGAUCGCUUGUGUCUUACCAAGUCUAUAAACAGUGUUUGAGACACCUUCCAUUAAGACCGUCAGACACUGUUCAAAGCGUACACUGGACACAAAGUGCACAUGAAAGGAAUGACUGACAUUACUGUGCAAUGCAAUGAUCAAACUGCUAAACUUCCAGUGUAUGUCAAAAAAGGGAAUUCUGCUUCCAUCAUGGGACGACUGUGGAUUAAUACACUGCGUGUAAAUUGGCAAGAAGUUCAGUGGCUCUCAGACUAUUCUUCACAAUGACAAGUCAUCCUGGGAAAGAAUUAAGAGUUUUUUUGUGAGGAAUUGGGCAGCAUAACGGACAUUGCAGUGAAAUUGCACAUUAAACCAGGAAGCAAACCUGAGUUUAUGAAGGCUAGGACAGUGCCAUAUGCAAUUCGUGACAAAGUCGAGGCUGACCUGGAUGCGUUGGUCAAAAGUGUUUUUUUGGAACCGGUCACCACCAGCGAAUAGGCGACACCAAUUGUGCCGGUUCUGAAAAAGAAUGGCGGAAUUCGCACAUGUGGCGAUUUUAAAGUGACUUUGAAUCCGGUGCUUUGUGUGGAGCAGUACCCACUUCCAUUGAUCGAUGAUUUGUUUGUAAGUCUUAGCAGGGGUCAAAAUUCACCAAAUUGACCUCAACCAAGCUUAUCUGCAGAUGCAUGUGGGCAAAGAAUCAUGGGAGUGGCUGACAAUUAACACACACAAGGGACUUUUCAGAUAGUGCAGAUUACCUUUUGGCAUCACAUCUGCUCCUGCUCUGUUUCAACGGGCUAUGGAUUGAAGGAAAAUAGUCAAUUUAUCCUUGUUACAGGUUGUUUUAUUCUUAUAAAGAACAGGAGAUGAUGACAUAGAAUUCGGAAAUAAAAAAGAAAAAAGAAUUUACACUGAAAGACACACAGACAGAAAACACGGGACAUGGUACCGAGACAGGACGAAAAGAGCAAAAGUCUCUUCCUCUCUCCUCGGACUCUUUUUCUUCCCUCUCGCUUGGGGACAGGGACUAGCUAAUAUUUUCCAGAAGUGCCGCUACUCGAAGGCAUACAUUGUCUUAUGAUGGCGAAUGCAAUGUCCACAUAUGAUUAUUGUGAAUAAAUGGAACUAUAUUCCUACAAUUCCCUCUUUUGGAUUCAAAUAGAAAAUUGAAUCCACCCAACUAAAAAAAUCAACAAAAAACAAACAACAACAAAACCCAAGUAAACUCAAAGAACAAAUACAUCACAAACCACACGAGAGGUGACGAGACAAAAACGGUAAAACAAAGAAAUGAAAAACGUAAAAUAUAAACAAUUAAAAAUAAACCAUAAUAUCUGAGUCCAGAAAGCAAAACACAUUCCCAUUUCCCAAGGGUGAGCACACAGGAAUUCCCACAGUCUGUCCCAAACAGGUGUGCAAAGUUAAAAAAGGGUUCGGUCCAUGAAAAGGGUCAAUCUUACGUUAAUAUUCCAUGACUCAGGUUGAAACUAAUCCUUUUCGUCAAAUUGUUUUGAAGAAAUCAAUAAUCGCAAUCCUUAAUGCAGUGCCCAGUCCUCGAGAAUGCAGUUCAGAAAACAAGACUUAAUCAUCAAUAUCUAAUACUAUAUCAAACACUGACACCGCCCUCUUUUGUGCUGUAAUCUGUUCAACUAAAAAACACAGAAUGCAAUAGAAAAACAUCAAAUCAUAAUCAAUUAAAGCACUAAUGUGAAGUAAGGUUGGCCAACCAUGUUUUUGAAUAAUAUCAAUGGCUAAACAAUUAUAAGCAUAUUUUCUUUUUUUUUUUUUUUUAACGCAACCCUUCCAGAUUCUUUGUUUAACCCAUAGCAACGCCCUUGACACCGAAAAUGCUUUUUUUCUGCAAUCUUCGGAAUUGACGUCACACCGAGAACUGUGGGGGAAGUCCGCCAUACACACAGUAUUGUUUGUUGCAUUGCUUCUCGGUAAGAUGCCACGGCGGUGUGUGGCGAUGUUUUGUUCUCACUCUAACGAAAAGUUGUUUGAGUGGCCAAAGGAUACCAGGGCACAUAAAUGGACAUCUUUCGUUCGCACGAAGCGAAUGAAUUUCACGCCAUCAUCGAGUAGUGUUAUCUGCUACAAACACUUUGAAGAUGCCUGCUUCCUUAACCGGACUGCUUAUGAUCAAGGAUUUGCAAAAAAGUAAGUGUGAUUUUUGGAUAGAUGACUGAUUACUUUAUCUAGCAGAGCUGCCAACUGUUGUGGAAUGAUUACUUUGUCAAAGCAGUGCAGGCGCCAACUGUUUGGAAUGAACAGCAUAAGGUAGCGACGUUAGCCGAAAGCUAACUCGAGGCAAUCCCCGAUUAUAGUUGUAUUGAGUUCAUUUUGCCUACACUUUAAAUUCGUCAACUUUUCUUUUAUCCCAGGCAAAAGUAGGUGGUUUAUUUACAUGUUUCGGCGAACACUUCCGCUUCGCCGAAACACUUAUAAAUUCGUCAAAACUUUUAGAAGGUGGACGUGUUCGCCGAAAUUAGUCAGGUAAAUAAACCAUCUACUAUUGCCUGGGAUAAAAGAAACGUUUUGACGAAUCCCUGAUCAUGUUUUGGAAUGAACAGCAUAAGGUAGCGACGUUAGCCGAAAGCUAACUCGAGGCAAAACCCCAAUCGUGUUGUGCAUUGUACAGUAGAAGCUAGCAACGUUGGGCGAAAGCUAACUCGAGGCAAUCCCCGAUUAUAGUUGUAUUGAGUUCAUUUUGCCUACACUUUAAAUUCGUCAACUUUUCUUUUAUCCCAGGCAAAAGUAGGUGGUUUAUUUACAUGUUUCGGCGAACACUUCCGCUUCGCCGAAACACUUAUAAAUUCGUCAAAACUUUUCGAAGGUGGAAGUGUUCGCCGAAACAAGUCAGGUAAAUAAACCAUCUACUAUUGCCUGGGAUAAAAGAAACGUUUUGACGAGUCCCUGAUCAUGUUUUGGAAUGAACAGUAGAAGUUAGUGACGUUAGCUUUUGGCUCGAGGCAAGCCCCAAUCGAUGCUAUUCAUAUCAACGAUGAGUACUAUUGGCAUGAGACAAAUUGUUCUGGAAGUAAAUUUCAAGCAUCAGUGGUGUAAUCAGCCCCUUUGUUAGAAACCUGCCUGUACUAAACGUGCUUCUCAGCUCAGCAAUCCUGUUUACUGGAAGUUUGCCAAGCAAGGCUUUAAGAAUAUUCAGGUAAACAUCAGGUUGAAUUGUUAUGAAGGCCAAAUGGAGCAAGUUAAAUUUAUUUAUGACUUAUGCAUAUAAUGUUACACUUUUUGCUCUGACACGCGGGCUGUGAAUUGAAAAAUCAACAUGUAUUGGUUAUGUUUUCAGAUUCCUGAAUAUUCAGUGCCACAAUAAGUGGGCAUACUUCCACCACCAGGCCACGUAUAUCCAUGAAGCACUGACAACCACAUGGACAAAGAAGCAGUCUGCUCUUUUGGGGUCCAUUAAGGAGAAGGAACUGGUCCUUGGAGGAGAUGGAAGAUGUGACUCCAUGGGUCACUGUGCCAAGUACGGGAGUUAUAAUUUGAUGGAACUGGAUCUCAACAAGGUGCUAACUGUUCAUCUGGUGCAGAGUAAUGAGACUGGGGGAAGCUAUGGAAUGGAACUGGAGGGCCUGAAAAGAUGCCGUCAGGAGUUGGAAGGCUUCAAUGUAAAAGUUGUCAUCACUGACAGGCAUCGCCAGGUGGCGAAAUGGAUCAGGGAGAAUUGGACUCAAGUCAUCCAUUAUUAUGAUUGUUGGCACAUUGUUAAAGGUAUGUGCAAGAAACUGGACUCCUUGGCCAAAAAGAAGAGCAUGUCGAUUCUGAAGGAUUGGGUACAAAGUUUGAAGUGCCAUUUGUACUGGUGUGCACUUUCCUCCCAGACACCGGAGGAAAAGAAGCAGAAGUGGCUGGCAAUAUGUGGACCACCUGCAAAACGUGCACGAUAGUUGUUUGCAUCCUCCAAUUACUACAAACAAAGCGUGGCUAUUACCAGGUACUAAAGUUAACGUCGCAGUGGUGGAACUCCUGACAAAGACCAUGUUUGUCAACGAUGUCAUGAAGAUGUCUCACCUUGGACAGACCAGUGGCAUUGAAACUUUUCACAGUGUGGUGAAUCACUUUGCUCCAAAGAUGUACCACUUCUCGUACAAAGGAAUGAAAAGAAUCAUUCUCGCUGCUAUGCAUUAUAACGAAAAUGCUGGGAGACCACAGAAAGUGACGAAGGAAGGAAUACACUCCUACUGUAUUGUUUAUGCCAAAUAUAAGAGUGGUGGAUAUUCUCUGAGAAAGAUAUUGGUGGAUGCAACUUAUGACUAUGUGAAUGACUGCCUGUCAGAGGUGAUGAAACUGAUUGACAUUCCAAAGAAGCACAGAACUGGUAUUGUGUUAUUCGAACCCACAAUUUCUUACAGCAGCAGUGAACAGACCGGACAAGUCAAUUGUUAUUGCCGAGCACCAUACUAGAUUCCUCAGGAAAUAAAGAAUCAUAUUCCCUGUAUUCAGUUGUCCUCAUUUGUUUAUUUUUAUUACUGUAUUUUGUAAUGAUAAUUUCCACAUUAACCACUCUAAAACCAGUCUAAAUCACAGUUCUGGAACAUUUCUCUGUGAAACACGAAACCCUUUGAAUACAGCUGACUCCUCUUCUCCUGGUGGUGGAAAAUGUGCCCUGAUACUAGACACUGCACAUGCUGGGAGCACAACACGGUUUUCCUGACCAAGAUAAUUCCAGCACCAGCGCACCAGUUGUCUGUAGGCAAUAUGCCUAUACUUGGCAUCCUGUGGUCCAUUGAAUGCCUUGCCUUUGUACUGCUGCUUGUAGGUCAUCCAUGCCACCUGUAAUCCAUAUGGGUCCAGGCACACAGCAUUGAGUCCAAGAUGGUCGGUGAUGCAGGCCAGCACUUGAUUGAAGUGUUAUUCUCCUUGUUGACGUACAGUCACUACUUCUUCAAUUUCAUGGCAGCAAACACAUUCAACUGCUGUAGGCAUUUGCUGGCAAUUACCACAAGUACACCCGAAAAAAAAAAAAAAAAAAAUACUGAGCAAUGACACCAUGAGCAGAAAUUUUAUUGAACAAGUGUAUUGCUAUACCAAUUAAUAAUUCUGUUUAUGAAAACAUUUGAUUCAAAAUAUACAAGUAUAUGGAUGGAAUACUG